GAAAUACUUCAGCUGAUAAUACAGUGCGCUGGAGUGUGCUUGAUGUUUUGUCGUUGCGAUUUUAACAUGCAUUAUUGCAUGUGGCAGUGUGUUUUGCUUGGCUUCUUUAUGAACGCCCGCGCGUCCGACUACCCACAACGUUACUCACGGCCAACCCAGAAGAACGCAAGUGCGUACGGAGCGCGUAGUCACUUCAGAACAAAUGCAUCGCGAAGCUACUAUGGCUCUGGAGCAUCCUUGCCGGCGGCCUACGAUGUCGGCUACCAAGACAAAAAUGACUAUUCACGUACGAAAUCUCGGGAUACGGUUCGUCCUAGGUACGAAUAUGAAGACAAUUCGAGAAAAGCGGGAGGCUAUGGCGCACAGCCUACGGGAUGUAACUGCGCCCCAGCCCCGUCCACUGCCACACCAGCGCCUGCGCCAACGCCAGCACCUUUAC